rnacentral:rRNA from 1 species
AACGUAGGGGGCGAGCGUUAAUCGGAAUUACUGGGCGUAAAGCGCGCGUAGGUGGUUUGAUAAGCGAGAUGUGAAAGCCCACGGCUCAACCGUGGAGGGUCAUUGGAAACUGGGAGACUUGAGUGCAGAAGAGGAAAGUGGAAUUCCAUGUGUAGCGGUGAAAUGCGUAGAGAUAUGGAGGAACACCAGUGGCGAAGGCGACUUUCUGGUCUGUAACUGACACUGAGGCGCGAAAGCGUGGGAGCAAACAGG